CGCAACUUCCUUUGAACACCAUGAAGCAUUCUCACAAAGAUUUCUUUUAUUAUUACUACCUCCAGUAGAUCCAAGCAGAAAAGGGAACACCCUGAAUGGCCUUUAUUUCGGGGAUCUCCUCUUCCUCCAGGGUCUCUCAGGGGAGUGCGGAAGACUCGCAGCAUGAUAUCUCAGGAUAACCAAACUUAAUGCAGGGUCCAAGGAAGAAAGAAAGCUUCCAGCAGGACUUUUUUGGAGCCAGACAUCUUGGCCUCUUGGGCCUAAAAAGAAGACCAUCUUUUAUUAUGCAUGUCAUCUCGUGAGUCUCGUGGCCAAAGGAAGAGCAGGACUGGGCUGUGAGAACAUCCCCUGUGAGGUGAGGAAGCCAUGGAACUCAGAGGGAUGUGCGGAUCUCCUCCAGAGACUGUUCCAACCAGGUUCUGCUACAUACAAAAAUCCAAAAAGAUAAUCAACAGAGUAGAAAGAAAACAUGUUCCAAUUCUUUAAGUAAGAAUAAGAUAAUUUCUAGAAAACUGAAAA